rnacentral:misc_RNA from 1 species
CACCGGUCAUCCUCCUGGGAGUCCGACGCCUGUACCAAAUGGCCACCUACACCCUCAGAAGGAGUCAGGAGUCAGGACACCCAACCAACACCAAGCAAAGCAUGACGUGUCAGGAAACAUUUGUACUGUAUUAUUAAACAACAGGUGUAUUUCUUUCCUCCGUCCCAACAUUGCUUCCUACCAACUAGUUUUCCAUGCUAUUUUUUUUUCAAAAAAAAAACAAAGAAAACAUCGCUUCCUUCCAGUUCAAAUACCAAGACAUCAUACAAACCAACUCACCAAAAUCUACUGUAAGGCUGGAGAAUUUGUUGGCGCAGAGAGAGAGAGAGAGAGAGAGAG